AAACCAACAGGGAUUGCCUCAGUAACGGCGAGUGAAGCGGCAACAGCUCAAAUUUGAAAUCUGGCCUCUUUGGGGUCCGAGUUGUAAUUUGUAGAGGAUGUUUCGGGUACCGCCUCGGUCUAAAUUUCUUGGAACAGAAUGUCAGAGAGGGUGAGAAUCCCGUCUUGGACCGGCGGUAGGGCCCAUGUGAAACUCCUUCGACGAGUCGAGUUGUUUGGGAAUGCAGCUCAAAAUGGGUGGUAUAUUUCAUCUAAAGCUAAAUAUUGGCCAGAGACCGAUAGCGCACAAGUAGAGUGAUCGAAAGAUGAAAAGAACUUUGAAAAGAGAGUUAAACAGUAUGUGAAAUUGUUGAAAGGGAAGCGCUUGCAACCAGACUUGAGCGCGGCGGUUCCCCCUUCCUUUUGGUUGGGUUACUCCGUCGUGUCCAGGCCAACAUCGGUUCUGGGGGUCGGUUAAAGGCCUGGGGAAUGUAUCUACGUCUUCGGGCGUAGACUUAUAGCCCCGGGUGUCAUGCGACCUCCCGGGACCGAGGAACGCGCUUCGGCUCGGAUGUUGGCGUAAUGGUUGUAAGCGAC
rnacentral:rRNA from 1 species